UACGUAGGGUGCGAGCGUUGUCCGGAAUUAUUGGGCGUAAAGGGCUCGUAGGCGGUUUGUCACGUCGGGAGUGAAAACUCGGGGCUCAGCCCCGAGCCUGCUUCCGAUACGGGCUGACUAGAGGUAUGCAGGGGAGAACGGAAUUCCUGGUGUAGCGGUGAAAUGCGCAGAUAUCAGGAGGAACACCGGUGGCGAAGGCGGUUCUCUGGGCAUUACCUGACGCUGAGGAGCGAAAGUGUGGGGAGCGAACAGG
rnacentral:rRNA from 1 species